rnacentral:rRNA from 1 species
GUGGGGAAUUUUGGACAAUGGGCGAAAGCCUGAUCCAGCCAUGCCGCGUGCAGGAAGAAGGCCUUCGGGUUGUAAAGCACUUUUGGCAGGGAAGAAACAGUGCGUGCUAAUACCAUGCGCGAAUGACGGUACCUGCAGAAUAAGCACCGGCUAACUACGUGCCAGCAGCCGCGGUAAUACGUAGGGUGCAAGCGUUAAUCGGAAUUACUGGGCGUAAAGCGUGCGCAGGCGGCUUUGUAAGACGGAUGUGAAAGCCCCGGGCUCAACCUGGGAAGUGCAUUCGUGACUGCAAGGCUAGAGUGUGUCAGAGGGAGGUGGAAUUCCGCGUGUAGCAGUGAAAUGCGUAGAUAUGCGGAGGAACACCGAUGGCGAAGGCAAUCCCCUGGGCCUGCACUGACGCUCAUGCACGAAAGCGUGGGGAGCAAACAGGAUUAGAAACCCGAGUAUCC